CUACGGAGGGUGCAAGCGUUACUCGGAAUCACUGGGCGUAAAGCGCGCGCAGGCGGUCUUUUAAGUUGGAUGUGAGAGCCUACAGCUCAACUGUAGAACUGCAUCCAAAACUAUUAGACUAGAGUCUGGGAGGGGGAGAUGGAAUUAGUUGUGUAGGGGUAAAAUCCGUAGAGAUAACUAGGAAUACCAAAAGCGAAGGCGAUCUUCUGGAACAGUUCUGACGCUGAGGCGCGAAAGCGUGGGGAGCAAACAGGAUUAGAAACCCCAGUAGUCC
rnacentral:rRNA from 1 species